rnacentral:rRNA from 1 species
GACGAACGCUGGCGGCGUGCCUAAUACAUGCAAGUAGAACGCUGAAGAGAGGAGCUUGCUCUUCUUGGAUGAGUUGCGAACGGGUGAGUAACGCGUAGGUAGCCUGCCUUGUAGCGGGGGAUAACUAUUGGAAACGAUAGCUAAUACCGCAUAACAAUGGAUGACACAUGUCAUUUAUUUGAAAGGGGCAAUUGCUCCACUACAAGAUGGACCUGCGUUGUAUUAGCUAGUAGGUGAGGUAAUGGCUCACCUAGGCGACGAUACAUAGCCGACCUGAGAGGGUGAUCGGCCACACUGGGACUGAGACACGGCCCAGACUCCUACGGGAGGCAGCAGUAGGGAAUCUUCGGCAAUGGGGGCAACCCUGACCGAGCAACGCCGCGUGAGUGAAGAAGGUUUUCGGAUCGUAAAGCUCUGUUGUAAGUCAAGAACGGGUGUGAGAGUGGAAAGUUCACACUGUGACGGUAGCUUACCAGAAAGGGACGGCUAACUACGUG